CGUGUGUGUAUAUGUGUGUCACAGAAACAUUUAGUCACGUGAUCACAUUCAUAACUGGAGCUAACGUGUCACCGACCGCAGCCUUGGCUGAGAUUCUCUCUGACACUUGGUGCUGACUCCACAGUUUUUCCUUUGUCUUCAGUUUCUGUUCCCGUCAACAGUUGGACCUGAGCGUCCGUCGUCUCUGAGCUGCUGAGAAGUGGACGCGUGAUUCAAACACGUAGCUGCCAGUGCUAGCCACGUUGCUAGUCGUUGUUAGCGGCGUAUUAACAACACUGUAUGACUUUAAUGAGUGAUUCAUAAAACAGUUUUACUGCCCGUGACUAUCAGGGUGAAACAACACAAAGAAGACGCUUUUUGACAGUAAAUAUUGGUAGCCUAGCAUUGAUAGCAACAACAGCAGCAUUAGCCUUCUGAAAGUUUUAUGUCAGAGAACACUGGGGUCAACCCUUAGAGUGUGUAUGUUCAACACGGCUUCUAACUUGAGUGUCAAAAUUCAAACAAAAGCUAAUCUUAUUUCAAUUUUGUACGACAUUUCAGUCCAUAUAUUCUUGGGGUCAUCGUUGAAGUAACAAUGAAUUUAAAGUCUUUUUUCUUCUUCUGCAGGUCUUCUUCUCCAUCGUCUACUUCAGCAGCUCUGAGACACAAACUGUCUUAUCCUGGUCCGUGAACCAUGGCCUGAGCCACAUCCUACAGUGACAUCACGGGUGCCGAGAGUCUCUUCAUGUCAUUGGUGUGACUGGAGAAUGAUUUCCCAUCAGCCACUGCUGUGAUCCAACAAGCACCAGCUGCUGGAAAAUGUCCAUCUCUGAGACACUUAAGCACCGAAGAGUAAACGCACGUGUGGCUCCUCUGUCUAUCUCACCUGUUCAGGAUCCUGGGGGUCACAUGGUCGCAGCACAACAGCACCGCCCUUCUGGCUGGGUCGUCCCUGGGCCACAAGACAGCGGCCGGUUGAGAGAUUGCGCAGCUGAAGGAUGACAGACACACAAUGACU